UGUUCCCCUGCACCCAAUAUUUAUCAAGAUACCUUUACAGCUUUUGACAGAUUUACUUUUCAGUCACCAGAAAUCAAUGUUAUAUUACAGCUAUUUCUCAAAGUAGGUAUGGAGUUUUCUUAGCACUGUAGUACUCAGGAUGUUAAGUGUAUCUUCAGGCUAAAUAGUUCCUCUACAUCAAUUAUUCUAAUAGAUGAUCUGUGCUAUUAGUAUCAUUACCAUUAUCACUUAUUCUAUGACACUGUAAUAAGAUGCCAAAAAAGUGAGUAAAAGUUGAGGAUCUUCUGUUCUCUGGGGUGUCAAGGCAUGGAUUUCUUGAAGAAAUAGAAUUGUAUUGUUCACAGAGGACUUCUUCAAGUCCAUUACUAUCGUUUAGGUAGUUAGAUGCCUCACAAGAUUAUGUAUUUCCUAAAAUGAUACCACUGGGAGCUAGUGAAACUUUUAGGAUAUCCUUAAGUCAUCAGGCAUGUACUCUUCAACAGGCUACCAGAAUUGUCCUCUUUCUAUUUGCUUCUGGAUUUGUAACAUAGUGAGUUUGCUCUACCAUCUGUCCCUGCCAUGAUACCUCGACCUGGCCCCACACAUGAAGAAAACAAACCACUCAGUCUUGGGCUGGAACUUCCAGAACUUUGACCCACUAUAAGUCUUUUUCUUUUAUAAGUUAAUUACCUCAGGUACUUUGUUACAGUAAUAAAUACCUAAUGGCUGUAUCAAUAUUUUAUAAUUUUCUUUAAUUAUCUUCAAAUACUUUCUCUCUAUACCUAAUUCUUGUUUAAAACUCCCUUAGGUAUUUACUCUCUCCUAUCUUUGUUAAAUCUUUUCUCAAAGCAUUUAACUUAUCUACCUUUAAUCCAAUAUAUAGGCAAAUAUAUUACAUAUAAGCUCCCAAUCUUGUAGCUGAUUUUUAAUUAUAAAAUAAAUAUUAGCAUCAGUUAAGAAGAAAAGGCUAUUUAAAUGCUCAUUAUCUUGUAAACUAAAUUCAGUGAUGCUGAAUAUUUCCAUUCAAUACUUACAAUGCAUGUUAUAUCAGCCCUUUUUUCAUUUAAUAUUUUAUGAAGACCAUAAUUGUUCUCAGAACCCUUUAUACCAGACAUAUCCCUCAACAUCAAACCAUAAAACCUCUGAUACAAUAUACAACUAACCACCAUCCUCCAGAGACUUGAAUUUAGUAGGGAGCAAAUAGUCAAUUUUAAAUAAUACCUUAGGUAAUUCUACUGCAGACACCU